rnacentral:lncRNA from 10 species
AGAAAAUGUCCUGAGCUGAUGCCCACAUUAUCUUCUUUCCCUCGCCUCUGCUGGCUCCCUAAGUCUCUGUUGGAUAAUGCUUUGAAGCUCUCCUGUCAUCACAAAGAUGAAUUUAGUAAAGAAAAAAGAAAAGGACCAAAAGCUGGAUGAAGACAGUCAGUCUAACAGUACCCCACUGAGCAUUCUCUGGUCCCACCUUCUGGGACAAAACCAUUCCCCAUGACAGUUAGCAUUGUGUUAUCAUGAUCAUAGACCACAUUCCUGAGCUCCCAUCAGCUGCUCGGCUGGCCCUUCUAUCCUGAUCCUAGCACCUGGGCUCCACUCAUCCCAGUGUCCUGUCUCAGAACUGCAAGAGAGCGUCAUCAGUCCAGUGUACUCUUGUCUGCAAACCACCAAACACAGUGUCCUGUUGAUCCUGCAAUUAUUGAAGUUUUAGUGGGGUACGAGCCAGAGCAGAGAAAUCUUCCUCUCUCUAGCAUCUGUGCCCCCAAAAUGAAUG